AAGUUCAGUGUUAAAAAGUCAAACCAUUAAUUGCUGGACAAUUUUUUUUUUAAAUGUGCCUUUUAAGCCCAGUGUGUAAAGACACACUCUGAGUUACAACUCAAAGGCACAAUU
rnacentral:snoRNA from 1 species